rnacentral:RNase_P_RNA from 1 species
GGGGGCGUGAGCCUACGGAAAGUGCAACAGAGAGCAGACCGCCAAAGCGCUUCGGCGCCGGCAAGGGUGAAAGGGUGCGGUAAGAGCGCACCGCGCGGGUGGCAACAUUCCGCGGCACGGUAAACCCCACCUGGAGCAAGACCAAAUAGGGGAACAGGCUUUUUGCCACGCGCGGCCCGCGCGCGUUCCCGGGUAGGUUGCUUGAGGUCUGCGGCGACGCAGAUCCCAGAUGAAUGGUUGUCCAAGACAGAACCCGGCUUAUCGGCCGGCUCCCCAC